GCUUAGAAGCAGCCAUCAUUUAAAGAAAGCGUAAUAGCUCACUGGUCGAGUCGGCCUGCGCGGAAGAUGUAACGGGGCUAAACCAUGCACCGAAGCUGCGGCAGCGACACUAUGUGUUGUUGGGUAGGGGAGCGUUCUGUAAGCCUGUGAAGGUGUACUGUGAGGUAUGCUGGAGGUAUCAGAAGUGCGAAUGCUGACAUAAGUAACGAUAAAGCGGGUGAAAAGCCCGCUCGCCGGAAGACCAAGGGUUCCUGUCCAACGUUAAUCGGGGCAGGGUGAGUCGACCCCUAAGGCGAGGCCGAAAGGCGUAGUCGAUGGGAAACAGGUUAAUAUUCCUGUACUUGGUGUUACUGCGAAGGGGGGACGGAGAAGGCUAUGUUGGCCGGGCGACGGUUGUCCCGGUUUAAGCGUGUAGGCUGGUUUUCCAGGCAAAUCCGGAAAAUCAAGGCUGAGGCGUGAUGACGAGGCACUACGGUGCUGAAGCAACAAAUGCCCUGCUUCCAGGAAAAGCCUCUAAGCAUCAGGUAACAUCAAAUCGUACCCCAAACCGACACAGGUGGUCAGGUAGAGAAUACCAAGGCGCUUGAGAGAACUCGGGUGAAGGAACUAGGCAAAAUGGUGCCGUAACUUCGGGAGAAGGCACGCUGAUAUGUAGGUGAAGCGACUUGCUCGUGGAGCUGAAAUCAGUCGAAGAUACCAGCUGGCUGCAACUGUUUAUUAAAAACACAGCACUGUGCAAACACGAAAGUGGACGUAUACGGUGUGACGCCUGCCCGGUGCCGGAAGGUUAAUUGAUGGGGUUAGCGGUAACGCGAAGCUCUUGAUCGAAGCCCCGGUAAACGGCGGCCGUAACUAUAACGGUCCUAAGGUAGCGAAAUUCCUUGUCGGGUAAGUUCCGACCUGCACGAAUGGCGUAAUGAUGGCCAGGCUGUCUCCACCCGAGACUCAGUGAAAUUGAACUCGCUGUGAAGAUGCAGUGUACCCGCGGCAAGACGGAAAGACCCCGUGAACCUUUACUAUAGCUUGACACUGAACAUUGAGCCUUGAUGUGUAGGAUAGGUGGGAGGCUUUGAAGUGUGGACGCCAGUCUGCAUGGAGCCGGCCUUGAAAUACCACCCUUUAAUGUUUGAUGUUCUAACGUUGGCCCCUGAUCGGGGUUGCGGACAGUGUCUGGUGGGUAGUUUGACUGGGGCGGUCUCCUCCUAAAGAGUAACGGAGGAGCACGAAGGUUGGCUAAUCCUGGUCGGACAUCAGGAGGUUAGUGCAAUGGCAUAAGCCAGCUUGACUGCGAGCGUGACGGCGCGAGCAGGUGCGAAAGCAGGUCAUAGUGAUCCGGUGGUUCUGAAUGGAAGGGCCAUCGCUCAACGGAUAAAAGGUACUCCGGGGAUA
rnacentral:rRNA from 1 species